UUUCCAGAACCCGCUACUCUUUUUCACAAGUUUUCAUUUCAUUUCACUCAAUUUCAGAUUCAGAUGAGUAACGAAAAAGAUGAUUCAGUAACGUCGUUCAAUCUUUGUUUGUUCGUUCGUUCAACCUAAGCUUCAAUCUUCGUUCAGAUUCAAUAUUCGUUUUCACCCUAAGCUAUUCAAUCUUCGUUCUUAUUCAGUCAUGGUCGUUCUUCGUUCUUCAACCUAAGCUUCAGAUUCAAACUCGUUUGUUCAAUGUAAGCUUCAAAUUCUCCUCAGAUUCUUCCUUCAGCUUCAAUUGACCUUCAUUCAACCUUCAAAAUCACCUUCAGGUACAUAACUUUAUAAAUUGCAACUCAAAGGGCCUUCUUUCUACAGGCAAUCAAAGCAAAGGGCAGUGACUUCCUUGAAGCUCCUGUUUCGGGUAGCAAGAAGCGGCAGAAGAUGGCCAACUAGUAAUACUUGCUGCUGACGACAAGGCAUUAUGUUAAGAACCACUUCCAGCAUUUGAUGUACUUCCAACAUUGAAGGCCUUUGAGUUAGAAUAUAUGGGAAAGCUUGUUAAGACACUUUUCAUUGAGACACCUUUUACUUUCUCUACUGGUGAAGAUCUACACCUCAGAUUUCACUAGUGAAGGAGAUUAUUUCUAAACAUGCAAUUAAGUUUGCCAAAUAUGCAGAAGAACAUGAAAAGUUAAUCAACAAGGUUUCUUUUCAUUUUUCCACUUCUAAUUGCUGCUCAUGCUUCAGGAUCAGGAUUUUUGCUAUUUGUAUUUUUGUUGUCUUAUGGCCUAAUAUAUUAGUGUACUGUUUGCUUUAUUUGUAAAUUAUCAAAUAUGGAUUAGUCACUUUAGGUGCUAAAAUGUAAUUAUUGCGUGUGCAAUAUGUAAAAACAAUACAUAUAUUUCCCAAAGUGAUAUGAAACUAGAUCAUUUGUCCAA